rnacentral:rRNA from 1 species
AGGAGCUUGCUCCUUUGACGUUAGCGGCGGACGGGUGAGUAACACGUGGAUAACCUACCUAUAAGACUGGGAUAACUUCGGGAAACCGGAGCUAAUACCGGAUAAGAUUUUGAACCGCAUGGUUCAAUAGUGAAAGACGGNCUUGCUGUCACUUAUAGAUGGAUCCGCGCCGUAUUAGCUAGUUGGUAAGGUAACGGCUUACCAAGGCAACGAUACGUAGCCGACCUGAGAGGGUGAUCGGCCACACUGGAACUGAGACACGGUCCAGACUCCUACGGGAGGCAGCAGUAGGGAAUCUUCCGCAAUGGGCGAAAGCCUGACGGAGCAACGCCGCGUGAGUGAUGAAGGUCUUCGGAUCGUAAAACUCUGUUAUCAGGGAAGAACAAACGUGUAAGUAACUGUGCACGUCUUGACGGUACCUGAUCAGAAAGCCACGGCUAACUACGUGCCAGCAGCCGCGGUAAUACGUAGGUGGCAAGCGUUAUCCGGAAUUAUUGGGCGUAAAGCGCGCGUAGGCGGUUUUUUAAGUCUGAUGUGAAAGCCCACGGCUCAACCGUGGAGGGUCAUUGGAAACUGGAAAACUUGAGUGCAGAAGAGGAAAGUGGAAUUCCAUGUGUAGCGGUGAAAUGCGCAGAGAUAUGGAGGAACACCAGUGGCGAAGGCGACUUUCUGGUCUGUAACUGACGCUGAUGUGCGAAAGCGUGGGGAUCAAACAGGAUUAGAUACCCUGGUAGUCCACGCCGUAAACGAUGAGUGCUAAGUGUUAGGGGGUUUCCGCCCCUUAGUGCUGCAGCUAACGCAUUAAGCACUCCGCCUGGGGAGUACGACCGCAAGGUUGAAACUCAANGAAUUGACGGGGANCCGCACAAGCGGUGGAGCAUGUGGUUUAAUUCGAAGCAA